rnacentral:rRNA from 1 species
AUGAACGCUGGCGGCGUGCCUAAUACAUGCAAGUCGAACGAGUUCUCGUUGAAUCUCGGUGCUUGCACCGAGAUUCAACAUGGAACGAGUGGCGGACGGGUGAGUAACACGUGGGUAACCUGCCCUUAAGUGGGGGAUAACAUUUGGAAACAGAUGCUAAUACCGCAUAGAUCCAAGAACCGCAUGGUUCUUGGCUGAAAGAUGGCGUAAGCUAUCGCUUUUGGAUGGACCCGCGGCGUAUUAGCUAGUUGGUGAGGUAAUGGCUCACCAAGGCGAUGAUACGUAGCCGAACUGAGAGGUUGAUCGGCCACAUUGGGACUGAGACACGGCCCAAACUCCUACGGGAGGCAGCAGUAGGGAAUCUUCCACAAUGGACGCAAGUCUGAUGGAGCAACGCCGCGUGAGUGAAGAAGGCUUUCGGGUCGUAAAACUCUGUUGUUGGAGAAGAAUGGUCGGCAGAGUAACUGUUGUCGGCGUGACGGUAUCCAACCAGAAAGCCACGGCUAACUACGUGCCAGCAGCCGCGGUAAUACGUAGGUGGCAAGCGUUAUCCGGAUUUAUUGGGCGUAAAGCGAGCGCAGGCGGUUUUUUAAGUCUGAUGUGAAAGCCCUCGGCUUAACCGAGGAAGCGCAUCGGAAACUGGGAAACUUGAGUGCAGAAGAGGACAGUGGAACUCCAUGUGUAGCGGUGAAAUGCGUAGAUAUAUGGAAGAACACCAGUGGCGAAGGCGGCUGUCUGGUCUGUAACUGACGCUGAGGCUCGAAAGCAUGGGUAGCGAACAGGAUUAGAUACCCUGGUAGUCCAUGCCGUAAACGAUGAAUGCUAGGUGUUGGAGGGUUUCCGCCCUUCAGUGCCGCAGCUAACGCAUUAAGCAUUCCGCCUGGGGAGUACGACCGCAAGGUUGAAACUCAAAGGAAUUGACGGGGGCCCGCACAAGCGGUGGAGCAUGUGGUUUAAUUCGAAGCAACGCGAAGAACCUUACCAGGUCUUGACAUCUUUUGAUCACCUGAGAGAUCAGGUUUCCCCUUCGGGGGCAAAAUGACAGGUGGUGCAUGGUUGUCGUCAGCUCGUGUCGUGAGAUGUUGGGUUAAGUCCCGCAACGAGCGCAACCCUUAUGACUAGUUGCCAGCAUUUAGUUGGGCACUCUAGUAAGACUGCCGGUGACAAACCGGAGGAAGGUGGGGAUGACGUCAAAUCAUCAUGCCCCUUAUGACCUGGGCUACACACGUGCUACAAUGGAUGGUACAACGAGUUGCGAGACCGCGAGGUCAAGCUAAUCUCUUAAAGCCAUUCUCAGUUCGGACUGUAGGCUGCAACUCGCCUACACGAAGUCGGAAUCGCUAGUAAUCGCGGAUCAGCACGCCGCGGUGAAUACGUUCCCGGGCCUUAUACACACCGCCCGUCACACCAUGAGAGUUUGUAACACCCGAAGCCGGUGGCGUAACCCUUUUAGGGAGCGAGCCGUCUAAGGUGGGACAAAUGAUUAGGGUG